rnacentral:lncRNA from 1 species
AAAAGAUAAUAUAUGACAUUUAAGUUAAUAUAUGAUAUUUUAUUUCCUGUAAAAUGCCUGUCAUAAAUUAUCUACCUAAAGAUCUUAAAAGAUUUUACUGCAUAAUACAGGCAAGCAUAUACAUGGUCGUAUUGAUUAAAUGCACCCAACUAUUCAAUGGUUGUCAAUCAAUUCAAACUAACUGUUGAUAAAUCUAUUUGUUUAACUUGAGUCGAAGC